CUCUCCUCCCGGGUCUGCGCGGACGCGGCCUCCUUACCUCAUUUGUCCUCGCCCCUCCCCGUCCCUCUACGCGUUUUGGUCCCUGUUUGGUGCUUUCUGUUUGCAGCUACGGCAGUGAGUAUGACCGUUAGAGAAAUGACUUCGUGUUUGAAUAGUUAGGCUGUCGCAUACAAAGACUUUUAAAUGGAUUGUGUGUAUACUUAGGAAGGCAUUAUGCUUUCAAGAGAAUCUGAGGAUGGGGAAUAAAGUCAGGAAGGAUCGCAAGUGAGGAUUAUAUUAAUAUGAUAAUUAGCACGGUAAGAGACUGCAUGAC
rnacentral:lncRNA from 1 species